UUGGGCGGGCCAUGCAGAAAAUUCAAGGCGUAGAGAUGCAAGUACGCUAGUUGAGCGCCGCACACAUUCGGAUGCCAUGCUUUUGUGUCCACAGUCGGAUAGCUGCCGACCUCGAUAUUCAGUAUGCAAUAUGUUCUUGUGGCUUCGAUAUUUUGGUGGUGCCAAGCGACAGCAGGGGAUGAAGCCUUGCAUCCGCGCCCUCAGCCGCUCUCGCCAACGCCCUCGCUGAACAACGAUCUGUCGGCGGCCAUGGAUGGCGGCAGGGCCUCUGUAGCCGAAGGGUGAUUUAGUAUUAGCUCACGUCCAUGGCUGUAGGUAGCCCGAUGAUAUUAUUCAUCAGUAGUAAGAAAUUCUGAAUUUGAUCCAGAGACAUUUCAUGGUGCCUCACGUUUGUGUCUUGAUCAGUAUUCAGUAGUUAUAUCAA